GUGCUUGCUUUGGCAGUACAUAUACUAAAAUUGGAAUGAUACAGAGAAGAUUAGCAUGGCCCCCGAGGAAAGGAUGACACUUUAAAAAAAAAAAAAAAAACAAGGCUCU
rnacentral:snRNA from 1 species